UACGUAGGGUGCGAGCGUUAAUCGGAAUUACUGGGCGUAAAGCGUGCGCAGGCGGUUUUGUAAGCCAGAUGUGAAAGCCCCGGGCUCAACCUGGGAAUGGCAUUUGGGACUGCAAGGCUGGAGUGCGGCAGAGGAGACUGGAAUUCCUGGUGUAGCAGUGAAAUGCGUAGAUAUCAGGAGGAAUACCGAUGGCGAAGGCAGGUCUCUGGGCUGACACUGACGCUCAUGCACGAAAGCGUGGGGAGCAAACAGG
rnacentral:rRNA from 1 species